GAAAGCCUGGGAUUGAGAUAGAGAAGCCCUGAACGGUAUCCUUGGUGGCUUUUCCAGACCAGGUGCUUGAUCUUAGCAUUACAGGUUCUGGGGAUCCAGAGGCUUGGCAAACUGCCAUUAGAGGUCACUGCAGCUCUUUGUGUGCUUGCUGUAAAAAUCUGCUCAGAUGCAGCUAUUGUUGCUCUACCUUCCAGUUCAACCUGAUUUCACAGGUAUUUGCAUGGGAAGGAAUGGGCUGAAGUGGUGGUGGUGUUCAUCUAUGCAUCUGCUAGAAUACAACAGCUGAACAGUCAUUGGUAUUGGCAGCCAAGUACCACUCAGCCACUCACUGCUACCCAACUCUGGGAGGAGAAUUAAAACCAAGUAAAACACAGAGGAUGAGAGAAGAAAAGCUGAUAUAUAAUCCCCAGUAAUUGAUAUAUAAAGGAAGAUAACCAAAAGAGAGAGAAAUGAAGGCCAAGAAGGACAAGUGGUGCACAGCUCAAUUGCUCCGUCCACUGAAAAGUGCUAGGACAGCCCCUAGCAGCAAUCCACCCCUCUUGGCCAAGUCCUCCUGGUUUAUACGCUAGACAUGACAUCUUAUAGUAUGGAAUAUUCCUCUGGCCACGUUGGGUCAGCUGUCCUGGCUGUGUUCCUCCCACCUUCGUGGACCCCUCCAGUCUUCUUGCUGGCAGAGCAAAAGAAGCUGAAAUAUCCUUGACUUAAUCUAAACCCAGCUGCAAAGGUCAGUGCAUUAUCAGCACUCGUCUCACUCCGAGUUCAAAAAACAGCACUGUACCAGCUGCUAGGAAGGAAAUCAGUUCUAUCCCAGCUGAAAUCAGGCCAAAUGGGAA